GAUGAACGCUAGCGGCAGGCCUAAUACAUGCAAGUCGGACGGGAUCCAUUGAUAGCUUGCUAUCAAUGGUGAGAGUGGCGCACGGGUGCGUAACGCGUGAGCAACCUGCCUCCAUCAGGGGGAUAGCCUCUCGAAAGAGAGAUUAACACCGCAUAACAUAAUGUUCCGGCAUCGGAGGAUUAUUAAAUAUUUAUAGGAUGGAGAUGGGCUCGCGUGACAUUAGCUAGUUGGUAGGGUAACGGCUUACCAAGGCGACGAUGUCUAGGGGCUCUGAGAGGAGAAUCCCCCACACUGGUACUGAGACACGGACCAG
rnacentral:rRNA from 1 species